UACGUAGGGUGCGAGCGUUAAUCGGAAUUACUGGGCGUAAAGCGUGCGCAGGCGGUUCGUUAAGUUCGAUGUGAAAGCCCCGGGCUCAACCUGGGAACCGCAUUGGAAACUGGCGAGCUUGAAUGCGGCAGAGGGGGGUGGAAUUCCGCGUGUAGCAGUGAAAUGCGUAGAGAUGCGGAGGAACACCGAUGGCGAAGGCAGCCCCCUGGGCCGACAUUGACGCUCAGGCACGAAAGCGUGGGGAGCAAACAGG
rnacentral:rRNA from 1 species